rnacentral:lncRNA from 1 species
AUUAAUCGGUGUACAGUCAGUUUAAAGCAACAACACCAUAUUCUGAGAAAGAACUUGCUUAUCCACUGCAAACAAUCCCUAAAUGACUGCACUUGGCUUCUGCUCUUCAAUAAUCCUGGACUUGAUGCCCUUCAGUCCACGUUAACAAGGUUGAUUCGGGAGGGACAAAAUGGCGCCGUAGGGAGAACACUGUGUUUCAGCAAACUACUGUGGCGUUCUUUAAUUUCUCUUUUUAUAUAAAUUUUCUAGCUUGAAAAAGUGGUAGAAUUUGCUAAAUAAGCUAUCCUACAAUGAGUAUUUCUCUAGAAUUUCCGACAGCAUGCCCAGCAGAACUACUAAGAACUCGACCAAAACCACCACCUCUGUAGAUGUGCAGGAGGAGCUAGCUAACGUUAGCGAAGCUAACACCAUUGCGGAUCCAGGCACAAUGGACCUGGUGAUUCAAAGGAUGACGGAUAACAUUACUAAAGUGAUCGAUGUUAAGAUAGUAAUGGUCUUAGAAGCAAUAGCAGGCCAUUCAGAAGAACUACAGAGGGUUGUCAAGCGUGUGGAUAAAGCAGAAAGAAGAAUUGCUACUGUGGAAACUUCAACUACAUCAAUGGACACUAAGAUAAAGGCACUUGAGAAACAGGUGCAUGAAAUGGCGGAGCACAUUGACGACAUGGAUAAUCGAGGACGCAGAUGCAAUAUCCGUGUUGUGGGACUCCCAGAAAAUUCUGAAGGGACACGUUCAGUAAACAUUUUUGAGGAAUGGAUCCCUGGCUACCUACAAAUGGACACUAAAGCUGGUCAUGUGAAGCUGGAUAGAACCCAUCGCUCUCAAGCACUGAUACCCGGUCCCAACCAGCGCCCACGACCAGUGGUUAUAAAGUUCCACAACUUCACUGAUAAGCAGCGCGUCCAUGGGUCUCAUUCUUCAAUGAUUAUUCCACAGCAGUUGUACGAAGACGCAAGGCGUUCGAUGAGGUGAACCUCAUCGAACGCCUUAUUCUCUUUAUUCAAGAGAAUAAAGAUGGACUACUACGCGCUGCUGUACCCCUCCAUAUUGAAGAUUAUGGUCAACGGAUCGCCUAAAAAAACUCUACACACCUGAAGAGGCUGCUGCGUUUAUUGACUCUCUCGGGUAAAUAACUUUAAGCUGCACCACAGCAUUGGAUCACUUUUUUAUUUGAAUCUGAUCAUGAAGCAGUGAUGUGAGUUCUCAAGUGCUCCUGUUCAGUAAUAUUCCUAUCUUUAUUAUUUUUCUUGCUAAAGUAACUGCCACUAUAGCUCAGACUGAGAUAUGUGUGAAUCUAUAUUGGUGCCCAGGCCUGGUUUUAGGUGGAAGAGCCUCAAUCUUCUUUUAUUGAUUUUAAUUUCCAUAUAUAUAAAGGAUGAGGCUAUAGAGUGGCUAUGCGGACUUAAGAGUCUACAUUGGAUGUUAGCUGUUAGCUAGUGGGAAAACCCCCUUUUGGAUCUUUACAUGUUUAAUUUUCGGGUUUAGUAUAGUUCGGGUUCAGGGUUCAUAUUGUUUGUUUAUGCUCGGUGAGAUUGAGGAGAGUUCAACACAUGUGAAAAUGUACCACC